rnacentral:rRNA from 1 species
GUGCCAGCCGCUGCGGUAAUACGUAGGGUGCAAGCGUUAUCCGGAAUUAUUGGGCGUAAAGAGCUCGUAGGCGGUUUGUCGCGUCUGCUGUGAAAUCCCGAGGCUCAACCUCGGGCCUGCAGUGGGUACGGGCAGACUAGAGUGCGGUAGGGAGAUUGGAAUUCCUGGUGUAGCGGUGGAAUGCGCAGAUAUCAGGAGGAACACCGAUGGCGAAGGCAGAUCUCUGGGCCGUAACUGACGCUGAGGAGCGAAAGGGUGGGGAGCAAACAGGCUUAGAUACCCUGGUAGUCCACCCCGUAAACGUUGGGAACUAGUUGUGGGUCCAUUCUACGGAUUCCGUGACGAAGCUAACGCAUUAAGUUCCCCGCCUGGGAGUACGGCCGCAAGGCUAAAACUCAAAGGAAUUGACGGGACCCGCACAAGCGCGGAGCAGUGCGGAUUAAUUCGAUGCAACGCGAAGAACCUUACCAAGGCUUGACAUAUACGGGAAC